rnacentral:rRNA from 1 species
CCUGCCCUACGGGACGCAGCAGUAGGGAAUAUUGCUCAAUGGGGGAAACCCUGAAGCAGCAACGCCGCGUGGAGGAUGAAGGUUUUCGGAUUGUAAACUCCUUUUGUUAGAGAAGAUAAUGACGGUAUCUAACGAAUAAGCACCGGCUAACUCCGUGCCAGCAGCCGCGGUAAUACGGAGGGUGCAAGCGUUACUCGGAAUCACUGGGCGUAAAGAGCGCGUAGGCGGGAUAGCAAGUCUGAAGUGAAAGGCAGGGGCUUAACCCCUGAACUGCUUUGGAAACUGCCAUGCUAGAGUGCUGGAGA